UGGGGAAUUUUGGACAAUGGGGGCAACCCUGAUCCAGCAAUGCCGCGUGAGUGAAGAAGGCCUUCGGGUUGUAAAGCUCUUUUGUCCGGGAAGAAAUCCUCUUGGUUAAUACCUGGGAGGGAUGACGGUACUGGAAGAAUAAGCACCGGCUAACUACGUGCCAGCAGCCGCGGUAAUACGUAGGGUGCAAGCGUUAAUCGGAAUUACUGGGCGUAAAGCGUGCGCAGGCGGUUGUGCAAGACCGAUGUGAAAUCCCCGGGCUUAACCUGGGAACUGCAUUGGUGACUGCACGGCUAGAGUGUGUCAGAGGGGGGUAGAAUUCCACGUGUAGCAGUGAAAUGCGUAGAGAUGUGGAGGAAUACCGAUGGCGAAGGCAGCCCCCUGGGAUAACACUGACGCUCAUGCACGAAAGCGUGGGGAGCAAACAGGAUUAGAUACCCUGGUAGUCCACGCCCUAAACGAUGUCAACUAGUUGUCGGGUCUUAAUUGACUUGGUAACGCAGCUAACGCGUNAAGUUGACCGCCUGGGGAGUACGGUCGCAAGAUUAAAAACCUGCAAAGGGAAUUGACGGGGGUCAUAGCUGUUUCCU
rnacentral:rRNA from 1 species